rnacentral:rRNA from 1 species
UACAGAGGGUGCGAGCGUUAAUCGGAAUUACUGGGCGUAAAGCGUGCGUAGACGGCUAUCUAAGUCGGGUGUGAAAGCCCCGGGCUCAACCUGGGAAUUGCAUUCGAGACUGAAUAGCUAGGGUACGGUAGAGGGAAGCGGAAUUUCCGGUGUAGCGGUGAAAUGCGUAGAUAUCGGAAGGAACAUCAGUGGCGAUAGCGGCUUCCUGGACCAGUACCGACGUUCAGGCACGAAAGCGUGGGGAGCAAGCAGG